UACGUAGGGGGCAAGCGUUGUCCGGAAUCAUUGGGCGUAAAGAGCGUGUAGGCGGCCCGGUAAGUCCGCUGUGAAAGUCCAGGGCUCAACCCUGGGAUGCCGGUGGAUACUGUCGGGCUCGAGUCCGGAAGAGGAGUGUGGAAUUCCUGGUGUGGCGGUGAAAUGCGCAGAUAUCAGGAGGAACACCAAUGGCGAAGGCAGCACUCUGGGACGUGACUGACGCUGAGACGCGAAAGCGUGGGGAGCAAACAGG
rnacentral:rRNA from 1 species